rnacentral:piRNA from 1 species
UUGUGAGGGUCCAGAUAAAUUAUGCU